UUCUUCCUCCAGCAUCACACAUACUAAAAUUGGAAAGAUACAGAGAAGAUGAACAUGUCCCCUGAAUGAAGAUGACCUGAAAUUUGAUGGUGUUCCAUAUUUAA
ensembl:snRNA U6 U6 spliceosomal RNA